rnacentral:rRNA from 1 species
AUUGAACGCUGGCGGCAUGCCUUACACAUGCAAGUCGAACGGCAGCACGGGAGCUUGCUCCUGGUGGCGAGUGGCGAACGGGUGAGUAAUACAUCGGAACGUACCCUGAAGUGGGGGAUAACGUAGCGAAAGUUACGCUAAUACCGCAUAUUCUGUGAGCAGGAAAGAGGGGGGAAUCGGCAAGACCUCUUGCUUUAGGAGCGGCCGAUGUCGGAUUAGCUAGUUGGUGAGGUAAAGGCUCACCAAGGCGACGAUCCGUAGCGGGUCUGAGAGGAUGAUCCGCCACACUGGGACUGAGACACGGCCCAGACUCCUACGGGAGGCGAGCAGUGGGGAAUUUUGGACAAUGGGCGCAAGCCUGAUCCAGCCAUGCCGCGUGAGUGAAGAAGGCCUCGGUUG